AACGAACGCUGGCGGCGUGCCUAACACAUGCAAGUCGUGCGAGAAAGUUCCUUCGGGAGCGAGUAAAGCGGCGCACGGGUGAGUAACACGUAGGUAACCUGCCCCCCAGUCUGGAACAACUAGAGGAAACUCUAGCUAAUGCCGGAUGAGACCACGAUCCCUUCGGGGUUGCGGCCAAAGAUGGCCUCUACUUGUAAGCUAUCGCUGAGGGAUGGGCCUGCGGGCCAUUAGCUUGUUGGUGAGGUAACGGCUCACCAAGGCUGUGAUGGCUAGCUGGUCUGAGAGGAUGACCAGCCACACUGGGACUGAGACACGGCCCAGACUCCUACGGAGCAGCAGUGGGAAUAUUGCGCAAUGGCGAAGCCUGACGCAGCGACGCCGCGUGGGUGAUGAAGGCCUCGGUCGUAAGCC
rnacentral:rRNA from 1 species